GAUGAAGAACGCAGCGAAAUGCGAUAAGUAAUGUGAAUUGCAGAAUUCAGUGAAUCAUCGAAUCUUUGAACGCACAUUGCGCCCGUCAGUAUUCUGGCGGGCAUGCCUGUUCGAGCGUCAUUACGCCCCUCAAGUCCCCUGUGGACUUGGUGUUGGGGAUCGGCGAGGCUGGUUUUCCAGCACAGCCGUCCCUUAAAUUAAUUGGCGGUCUCGCCGUGGCCCUCCUCUGCGCAGUAGUAAAACACUCGCAACAGGAGCCCGGCGCGGUCCACUGCCGUAAAACCCACCAACUUUUUAUAGUUGACCUCGAAUCAGGUAGGACUACCCGCUGAACUUAAGCAUAUCAAUAAGCGGAGGA
rnacentral:misc_RNA from 1 species